GCUUAACACAUGCAAGUCGUACGAGAACUCUUCUGCUUGCAGAAGAUAGUAAAGUGGCGCACGGGUGAGUAACGCGUGGGUAAUCUACCUCUGAAUCGGGGAUAACUCCGCGAAAGCGGAGCUAAUACCGGAUAAUAUCUUUUUACUUAGGCAAAAAAAUCAAAGGUGGUCUCUACAUGUAAGCUACUGUUUGGAGAUGAGCCCGCGUACCAUUAGCUUGUUGGUGGGGUAAUGGCCUACCAAGGCUGCGAUGGUUAGCUGGUCUGAGAGGAUGAUCAGCCACACUGGAACUGACACACGGUCCAGACUCCUACGGGAGGCAGCAGUGAGGAAUUUUGCGCAAUGGGGGAAACCCUGACGCAGCAACGCCGCGUGAGUGAUGAAGGCCCUCGGGUCGUAAAGCUCUGUCAAGUGGGAAGAAAAUGCUUGAUGUUAAUACCAUCUUGCACUGACGGUACCACUGAAGGAAGCACCGGCUAACUCCGUG
rnacentral:rRNA from 1 species